UCGUGAACUCCAAUUUUAUUAGUAUUGUUUGCUACACUGUGGAGUUCAACGUAGAAUUCUGGAAAUGUCCUGUGUAAACUGUUAAGUAUGUGGAUAUUUUCCCUGGUUAGCCAUGCACGGUGGGGAGCGGGUUAUGUUUGCGUUUUUAGAAAGGUAAUGUGGGCAUGAUGAGUAGGACUUACACAACCAUUCGGAACUGGCUGUUUCCCACUGUUUGAGGUCCAACCAGCCUGGGAUUGGAAUGUUUAGUGGUGUGUUACUGCCGUCUGCAAGUUGCUCGGCUUACAACCAUUUUUGACCAGUUCCAAAUGUUUUGACUGGGAACAACUAGUUUAAUAUUCCCUUUCCGAAACUAACAGUGGCCCACAACAAACCUUUCUCUUGUUUUUAUACCCUGGGUAGGAUAAUACACCAUGAAAGAAGCUUUAGUCUCUGUUUUGUCUUUUAGAUAGUCCCAGAAGGUGCCUUUUAUUCCAUGGUUCUUUAAUUUUACUCUUCUCAUGCUUGACAGAAAUACAUGCUGUUCUCUUACAAAAAAAAUCUGUGGCACUUAUUUUGUGACAACCACAAAAGGAGCCUUUAAUCUUCAUUUCCCUCAUAUGUACUCUUGGAAUCAUUUUUUCAAUUCCAUGUUCCUACCUUGACAACUUCCAUGCUGUAGAACAGAAUGUAUUGAACUUCAUAACUCACUUAGCCUUUUAUGCUUUAGGGUAGCAUCCCUGCUGUGCAGCGUGGUAUCUUAGAAAUUAUUCCUAUGCUACGCCCAACAACCAUGUUAUCAUCAAUGUGGUCGCCUCUCCUGCUUGAGCUGCUAUGCUAUCUUAACGGAGAAGAAAGCCCCCUGCACAGGAAUAGUAAAGAAAUACGUGAACAGAAUUCUGAUGCACUGGCCAAUGGCACAAAGCGUGCUUCUGGUAAGACAUGUUAUCAUAUCGUACAUACAUGUUUGUGUAAUUUAAGAAAUAUGAUAUCUUGAGCAAUUUGUGUGUAAUUUAUCAUGGCUACAGUUGAACAAGGCCAUAUCAAUGGCACUGGCACAAAAGGGGAUACUGUGGUGGGCUGUGGCUGGGGCAUUCUAUUUAUAGAAAAGCUUGUGCCAAUCAUGGUCAACCUUUUCCUGGAGGCUCCACCAAAUGAAAGGUGUAGUGCCUCACCACAGGUUAUUCAAGGUCUUGGAAGGUAAAUUGCCUUAGCUUUACAGCCUUACAGUCCCUAGCAAAGCUUUGGGGGUAAUAGUUAUGUUGUAAACCUGUGCAUAUGGAGUUCCUUAGCUUUUCAUGUGGUAAACAUAACUUGUGUUGGUUGUAGUUAUAAAGAUACAAUGCAAAAGUAAGAAUAUUUUCCCCAGUGAAGAUCAUGUGCUUACUGCAGAGUGUUCAUACUAAAUACAAAGUCAUGGAAGAUUAAUUUGGAACCAUCUAGAUAAUGAGCCUAUGAAAUUGGAUUGUGAAGCAGCACCGGGUUGUCGAGGAGCAACUUCAACAUGUUGUGCUAGAUGUUGCUCGAGGCAGAGAUAGGCUCAUAUGGCAGCAGGAAUUCAAUCCAGAAACUCCUAGAACGCAAAAUCUAUGCCAAGAUCUUAGAUAAGAACGCCAAGUUCUGUUAGUAGUGGGUACAUAGUCUGAGUUAUAAAACUAGAGGCAAGGACCUCUAUUUAUAGGCUUUGAAGCCUUCACAUCUCAGAUUCUACUCAUCACUAGAAGACUCUAGAAAACAUUACUUAAAGGACAUGUCAGCUUCUACCCAUAGAUAGAAGACUCUAGAGAAGAUUACUUAAAGGUUAAGAAAAUGAAUACAAUAACAUAUGACUUGAGGAUCGAUUUAGAAAUCAAAAUUGUCUUUUUUUUUUCUUUACCUCUCUCCUACUGUCCCUCAUCAGAUUGUUUAUUUACUCCUUACUUACUCUGGAAAUUGUUAACUGAAGCAGCACAAAGUUUGUGGAGGAGCAACUCCACCUUGCUGCUACAAUGUGUACAGCACAAGUGUUGAAGGAACAGCUUCAACGUGGUGCGCUAGAUAUCGCUCUAGAGGCGAAUGUAGGUUGAUAGGGCAGCAAGAGUAAAAUCCAGAACUCCUAGGGCACAAGAUCUACUCCAAGAUCUUAGAUAAGAACAACAAGUUCUAUUAUAGGUAGGGGUACAUAGUCUGCCUCCAAAGUAGAGGCGAGGACCUCUAUUUAUAGGGCUUUGGGAAGCC
rnacentral:lncRNA from 1 species